rnacentral:rRNA from 1 species
UACGGGGGGGCAAGCGUUGUUCGGAAUUACUGGGCGUAAAGGGCUCGUAGGCGGCCAACUAAGUCAUACGUGAAAUCCCUCGGCUUAACCGGGAACUGCGUCUGAUACUGGAUGGCUUGAGAUUGGGAGAGGGAUGCGGAAUUCCAGGUGUAGCGGUGAAAUGCGUAGAUAUCUGGAGGAACACCGGUGGCGAAGGCGGCAUCCUGGACCAACACGUGACGCUGAGGAGCGAAAGCCAGGG